GCCAACCUCACGGCCCGUGAGGCGCUGAACCGUGCUGAGGCACUUUAAGACCUGCAGUGCCCCACCCCAACUGUUAAUGAGCUCAUUAACAGCCAUUGCCCCUCUCUCCCUCAUAUCCAGCUCGGGGCAGUGGGGUUCAGAGUGAGGAGGGAUUACUUCGCUGUGAAGAGCUGUGUGGACGGGAGUCUGCCCAGGAGCCCAGGUUCUUGGAAACAUUCAAGGUCAGGCUGGACCAAGGCCUUUUCCUCCCCGUUCUUCCCUUGUGAGACCCCACCUGCAGUACUAUGUUCAGUUCUGGGACCCUCAGCAGAAGAAAGAUGCAGAGGUGACGGAAGUGGUACAGAGGAAGACCACAAAGAUUCAGUUCUGGUACUUAUGAAGUUUAGAAUUGUCUAUUGUAAUACACAAAGAAUCGUGCUCCCUACAGAGGC
ensembl:lncRNA